rnacentral:rRNA from 1 species
GACGAACGCUGGCGGCGUGCUUAACACAUGCAAGUCGAACGGAAAGGCCCUGCUUUUGUGGGGUGCUCGAGUGGCGAACGGGUGAGUAACACGUGAGUAACCUGCCCUUGACUUUGGGAUAACUUCAGGAAACUGGGGCUAAUACCGGAUAGGAGCUCCUGCUGCAUGGUGGGGGUUGGAAAGUUUCGGCGGUUGGGGAUGGACUCGCGGCUUAUCAGCUUGUUGGUGGGGUAGUGGCUUACCAAGGCUUUGACGGGUAGCCGGCCUGAGAGGGUGACCGGCCACAUGAGGACUGAGAUAGGGCCCAGACUGGUACGGGAGGCAGCAGUGGGGAAUAUUGCACAAUGGGCGGAAGCCUGAUGCAGCAACGCCGCGUGCGGGAUGACGGGCUUCGGGUUGUAAACCGCUUUCGCCUGUGACGAAGCGUGAGUGACGGUAAUGGGUAAAGAAGCACCGGCUAACUACGUG